GCUCCACAAACAGUUAUUAAUGAGAAAAUGGUCUAAAAUGGUUUAAACGUGAAGACAACCUAGGGAAAAAAAAUGUAUACAAAUCCCCACAAAGCAAACAUGGACGCGUUCUAUUCGGGGGCUUGCGGGCAUCUUGCAAGGCGUUUAAAAGCCUGCACAGGACAAUGGGGGCAGUGGGUUCGGCAAUUUAGCACAGAAGAAAACAACUUCUCCUCCCUGGAAAGCAAAGCAACCAAGAAGCCUCGGACACUGUCGCUCUGCCUCACCCGACCUCUCCGCCUCCGCACUGACCGUGUCACGGCCUGGCCGAAGACGGCGCCCUCAGCUCUGCAGAACAGCGCCGCAGACCUUGUCAGAGGACAAGACGCCAAGAGCACACAGCUAUGCCCGCACCACGCCCGGCGGCCAUCUUCCUAGGAGUCAGGAACUGACAGGUCACGUGGUCGUGUGGUGGGCGGUGCUCCUUGUGGCCACGCCUCCUGGAGGGGGCAGUGUGGGAGGAGUUGCAGGUGCUGAAGUGGCUUGGACGCCCUUCCCUCUAUUUUAAAGGAAUGGAAACAUUGCUUCUUUGCCUGGUUUGGCUUCAGAUGGUUUGGGUUGGGUUAGGUUGGGUUGGGUUGGGUUGGUUUUGAUACAGAGUCAAAGUCGCCCAAGCAGGCUUCAAACUUGCUAUGUAGCCAAGAAUGACCUUUACGCUCCCGAUCCUCCUGCCUCCACCUCCCAGCUGACCCAGCUAAAUUAGUGUAUUUUUCACAGGUGCCCCAGGCAAUAUUUUUCCCUGUCAUUCGCGCUUUUGAAAGUUAAUUUAUAACCCGUACCUGGCAUUAUAAGCAAUAAUUCAGAGAAAUAAACAACAAUUACAACUUUGGAAGCCAUUGCCCACUUUGCAAAUGAAAGUCGCUUAGUUCCUCCUUCCAGGGUCCAGAAGUCCGAAAUCUGCCUUCUCCAUCAUCGGAAGAAUGCACUGCCUCCGCAGACGUCCAUACUGCCUCCUUCCAGCUGAGGACCCCCCGCCCCAACCCCCCAAGGCCCUUCCAGACUUUGCUCUUCCCACCUCUGCAGAAGUAUCACCAAAUGCUAUUAACUGAUCCCUGACCACCAUCAGCAACCCCAUCCUGGCAAUAUUCCCUUCAAAGGGCCUCCUGACACCCAUUUCCUAGUCUUCUUCCAGGCAUGGUACUCCUUCCCAGGUUCCACCUACCUUAAUUAAUUCAGAGUUCCAGAGUUCUGCCCACGGUCAGUCUCAUCCCCAAUAUGGCCGAUAUUAUAGGCUCCCUCCUGAUCCAUCUCCGGAAGUGAGUGGGACCCCCACAGGAAGUGGAAAGUUAUCUCACAUAUCACCCCAUACUGUCUAAGCAGUUCCUGUGUUAAUCACUCAGAUCUAUUUUAAACCUUUUACUCCCCCAUGGGCUGCCGACUCUCUCAACUCCUCUCCCUACCCAGAACUCUUCUUAUCUGUCAGGACACUAAGCACUUCUCAGUUAAACUCUUCAGUACUGCCCCCCCCAUCCGUGGAGCCCGUUCCCCACAGCACCUGGGAGUGAGGCUCUUGGAAGGCGUGCCCUCACAGACCUUGCCCUGUUCUGCCUGCCUUCCCCUUCAAACCCUGCCAGGGCAAACUGGCCAGUAUUUUCUGCUAAUAGACACACUGGGCUUCGUGGUACACACCUUUGCCCUCAGCACUCAGAAGCAGAGGCAGGGGGAAUCUCUGUGAGUUAGAGGCUGGCUGCAUAGUGAAACCCUGUCUCAAGAGGAGGAGGAAGAAGAAGAAGAUGAAGAAGAGGAAGGAAGGAGAGAAGGGAGGGAAGGGGAGGGAGAAUGUUAUCAAGGGGUGAGAGAGGUCACUGAAAAGAUCUCACUGAAGAGAAAUAGCUGCAGAAAUGUAGUUCCUGUGCCCUUGGGGGCUACCCCCAGGGGCUCAGCUCACAUUUGAGAAAGAUUGGCUGAAGGUUCCUGGCCCUAGCCUUCCAACUCAUUUCUCAUGCAAGUCUCCCAGACCCUCCUUCAUGUACCUUUAACUUGUGCAGAGGGACAAGUAGAUUAAUGGGAUGACUUCCACAAGCCAGGAAGCUGGCUUUAGACAGGACCAGGCUCAUGCUUUCCUACACAGAGCUCUCUGCCUCCAGCGGGGAAACCAGAAUGAGGGGCAAGCACAUCCCACUGAUUGCCUUUGGUCUCAGACACAAGCCCAGCUCGGCGACCUACCUUUCUUCCCAUCAUUGAAACCAAAUCCCUGCAGACAUUCAGGGAGCACACCAUUCUUCCCUAGGGCUGAUCUGGAAAGCACUGUGGUUAGGAACUGCAGGUUAGGGUACCAGGAUGCAGAGUGGGCUCAGUGAGGAGAGGCAAGGGAGGCUGGGAACACAUUCCAACAAUUAUAAAGCCAGCCCCUGCCCUGCCAUGGACCAGACAGGUCUGAACAGGAAUUGGGGUAAAACUCUCAGACCUUUUCCUUUUAAUUAUAGGGAUAAGGCAUUCCUUCCAUAAAAUAAAUUUUUUAAUUAUUUAAGAAUGACUAGAUAACAUUUUAUAAAAGUGAUUUUUAGAAGCAUUCAAAAUGUUGUGGGGAUUGGGAGAGAUAAGAAGGCAGUGUUUGCAGGGCAGUCCUAGGUGAAGCAGGGUUAAUCUACACGUUUCUAUCCUCUACCUCCUGCCUCUGAACGGUUACUCUGAUUCAGGGGAAAGUUUCAUUUUGAUAACAAGGAUUUGCCAGCCCCUGGUCCCUUCCACGCUAUGGACCCUCAUACCCAGUCUUGCAAUCGAACUACUGCAGAACUAAGGUUUCCUCCUCAGUUUUGUCUCAAAGACAUGCCUCUUCCCUUGCUCUCUGGUCUUUCUCUGGUUCAUGUAGCCUGCCUAGAUCUUUCCAAGAGACACACCCAGUGGGGUUGAUUCUGGAAUCACUCAACAACCCAAGACUCUGAAUCAGCGGCUUUGAGAGUCUGGCUUACCUUCUUGUCAUGUGUUUUUAUGGAGAAGGAAAAAUAGGCAUUAUCUUUCCACUCCUUGCCACUCUCUCCAACAAGGCUGUAAUUUGAUCGCCCUCGGGUCCUUUUUCCAUAGCAUCAGCACCUGGCCUGAUGACUUCAACGGUCUAAUCUUUCUCUGUGGCUUCAGUUUCAUUGUCUAGCAUAUUUUCCACAGAAAUCUCAACAUGUUUUAUACACUA